ACAAUUCUAGUAAUCAAUGGAAACAACUUGUAUAUGCAUACGUAUAGAAAGAAAACAAUAUACAUGUACAUAUAAGUUGAAUUCAUUGUUAUAAAAUCAUCCGA
rnacentral:pre_miRNA from 1 species